CCCAAGUUAAAGCAAAUCCCAGGCAAAGGGGAGGGAGUAGCUCUAUGUGAGAGAAACAGAAGCUUUCGCCAAAUCACAUACAACAUGCAUCCAGCCCCAUCGCUGCAGCUGCCACAUUUACAAAGAGUCUUUAUCAUCAGAGUCAGUGCUUACCAUUAGAGUACAUGAAUCUAGACAGGUUAGUCUUACACCUGAAAGGACAUUUGCUCUUCUUUCAGGAAGAUGAAGCUGUUUUGACUCCUAAUAGCUGACUUUACCCAGUUCUGGAGUAAAGAGUGAUAUCUUUGGGGACUAUUGUGAAGAAGUAUAUGCAUGCAAGGCAAAAAGUGUCUUGCUUAUUAAUUAUCUGGAUGGCUGCCGAUUAGGCAGAUUCUCUAGGGAUUUAAUUUUUUUUUUUUUCUUGAAUAUUGGCCCCCGAAAACCCAUGUCUGAAACCUGGAUCCCACAUAACUAUUGGAUAAUACCAUGGCAAUGCUAGGAAUUUGUUGCCGGGAAUGCUUAAAUUACAUUGAACACAUGCUGGGUCUUUUGCUGACAAAGUGAAGCUGAGCUAAUUCUCUGUUUGCCUGGACAAUGAGUUGGACAUUCCUGGCUGUGCUCAACCAACAAUGGAAAUAUGAGGAACUCAUUGCCAUCUGAGUAUUUUGGGAUGCUAUUCAUACCUUGAUGCUGUGUACGGUAAGACAGGACAGUGGUGCUUUGGAAGUCCUGACCAAAAUGGUCAUCACUGGUGGUGCUGAAGAUGACAAAGAAAGUCAAGAAAAGGAAAGCAAAGAAGAAAGUAUUCUAGCAAUGCUUGGGAUCAUUGGGACAAUACUGAAUUUGAUUGUAAUCAUUUUUGUCUACAUUUAUACAACAUUAUAAGCAGGAAUCAGGGGGGUCCCUCACGAGAUGUGGUUAUUGUAACCCAACCUGCCAUUUAACAUGAAACUUUAAAUAACUGCAGUGAAGUAAGCACAUAUGGUGGCAGAAUUGCAAUGAACUCAGCCUGAGAUUUAUUCAGGUACACUGGAUAAUGUCUUGGAAUAGUAUGGUUUCAACAUGUGAUUAUUGGGAGAUGUCAUGGACAGCAUUAUUUAUAAAAAGAGACAUUUGAUGAAAAUUCUAUGUUUUUUGUUUUACUUUUCCUUUAACUAAAACAAGCCUUUAAAAAAGACUUUACAUUUGCAUUUUAGCAUUAUGGACUGAAAUUAGGAGUGUUUUUUUCCUUUUUUCUUAUAGGUAUAUAUUUUUAUUCUAUUAAUUUUUAAUCUGCAUUUGAAAGAUCUGUAAUACUGUAUAUUUAGCAUGAGCAUAAAAAUCAGUUCAAUUUUUAAAUAGGAGAUCUUUCCGAAAUCUUUAAUGAUUGAUGGUACAAUGCCUAGAAUGUUUAUACAGUAUAAAAAAAAUCAUUUUUUACAUAUUAUUAUGUAUCUUUUGCACUCCCAGGGAAUGUCUGGGAUACUUUCUAUAUUUAGUUGCAGGACAACAUCAAUGGUUCCAUCAGUACUACAUGCUAACAAACAGAGACAGGACAGGACCCAGCAGUGCUAAUAAAUGACAAAUCCAAUUCUUUGGGAGAUAUCACAUGACAUGUAUCGAGUUAUAGUUCUUUUUCAAGUGGCACUUGAAAAAAGCGAUAUGCUUCGACACGUCUUUCAGUCCUGAUUCUGUAUAUUAGCAUUUGGAGUGAUACCUGCAAUGGGUUUUUAUGAGGUUUCAGGACCCAAUAUUUGAAUGUUUCAAGGAAUUCCACCUAUUUCUGCUGUUGGUUAUCAGUAUGCUUCCAAAAUCUGGACAACAUUUAUUAAAUGUGGCAAAAAAUGUCAUCUAAACAAUUUAACUUGAAGCUAAAGUAUGGUAAAAUAUAAGAUACCAGUGCAGUCUCAACAGAGAGUAAAUUGGAAUUAAUGCUGUUUAAUGAAGCACUGCGAAUAUAUGGUAGCAAUGUUACGUAUGUUUAAAUAUCCUCAUUUUUAUAGUGCUAUAUGAAUACACAAUGCUGGAAUUUUCGCCAUACAGUAAUAGCAACAAGAGGAACAAAUAUUGCAAAAAUAUAAAUGGACACAGUUGCAGAGAUAAAGUGACAUAGGAAAAGAGAUUUCCCCCUAUCUUGUACUAAGUACAGAAACAAAGAGCCAUUGUCAAAAAAAAAAACCCCAUUAAAUUAUCAUCAGUUUCACUAGCCAUAUUGUAGUAAUUACCAUUGAAAAUCAUUACAAUUAAAGCAGGAUUUCACUUGAAAACGAACUUAAAACGAUGUUGUUGAGAAUGCUGUUCUAAUACAAUUUACAGCUGAUGUUUU